rnacentral:rRNA from 1 species
UACGUAGGGCGCGAGCGUUGUCCGGAAUUAUUGGGCGUAAAGAGCUCGUAGGCGGCCUGUUGCGUCCGCUGUGAAAUCCCAGGGCUCAACCCUGGGCGUGCAGUGGAUACGGGCAGGCUGGAGGCAGGCAGGGGAGAACGGAAUACUUGGUGUAGCAGUGAAAUGCGUAGAUAUCAAGUGGAACACCAGUGGCGAAGGCGAGUCUCUGGACAUUUCCUGACGCUGAGGCACGAAAGCCAGGGGAGCAAACGGG